rnacentral:rRNA from 1 species
CUGCCCACUGAUAAUAGUGUUUUAAAGGGCCGCGGUAAUUUGACCGUGCAAAGGUAGCAUAAUCGUUAGUUUUUUAAUUGGAAUCUUGUAUGAAUGGUUUGACAAAAGAAAAUCUGUCUCUAUCUUUUUCUUUGAAUUUAACUUUUAAGUGAAAAGGCUUAAAUAGUUUAAAAAGACGAUAAGACCCUAUAAAGCUUUAUAAAUUGUUUGUUAUUAAGCUGAAUUGGUAAAUAAUAGUUUAGUAAGGGAAGUUUAUUUUAUUGGGGCGAUAGUGGUAAAAUGUUUAUUAACUGUUAAAAUUUUAAGACAAAUAUAGUUGAGUAAAGUUGUAUAAAUUGAUCCUGAAAUACAGAUUAAAAGUUUAAGUUACUUUAGGGAUAACAGCGUUAUUUUUUUUGAGAGUUCAUAUCGAAAAAAAAGUUUGCGACCUCGAUGUUGAAUUAAAAUGUCUG